rnacentral:sRNA from 1 species
AUCUAUAAUACUUUUGUAGACACAACACAAGAUGGAAAUGGACAAGAGGGACGGUAAGUUCGGGCCACAGCCAAUGGCAGUGCCUCCGGCUC